rnacentral:rRNA from 1 species
CCUACGGGAGGCAGCAGUGGGGAAUAUUGCACAAUGGGGGACACCCUGAUGCAGCGACGCCGCGUGAGUGAUGAAGUAUCUAGGUACGUUAAGCUCUAUCUGUAUGGAAGUAAAUGACGCUACUUGACUAAGAAGCCCCGGCUAACUACGUGCCAGCUGCCGCGGUAAUACGGAGGGGGCAAGCGUUAUCCGGAUUUACGGGGUGUAAAGGGAGUGUAGUCGGCAUCACAAGUCUGGAGUGAAAUGCUGGGGCCUAACCGGAGAACUGCCUUGGAAACUGUGCGUCUGGAGUUCAGGCGGGGUGAGCGGAAUUCGUGGUGUAGCGGUGAAAUGCGUAGAUAUUAGGAGGAACUCCGGUGGCGAAGGCGGUGUACUGGACUGUAACUGACACUGAGGCUCGAAAGCGUGGGGAGCAAACAGGAUUAGAUACCCGGGUAGUC